UUGACCUCAAAUCGGGUGAGACUACCCGCUGAACUUAAGCAUAUCANNNNNNNNNNNNNNNNNNNNNNNNNNGGAUUCCCCUAGUAACUGCGAGUGAAGCGGGAAGAGCUCAAAUUUAAAAUCUGGCGGUCUUUGGCCGUCCGAGUUGUAAUUUAGAGAAGCGUCUUCCGCGCCGGACCGUGCACAAGUCUCCUGGAAUGGAGCGUCAUAGAGGGUGAGAAUCCCGUCUUUGGCACGGACCCCCGGUGCUUCUGUGAUGCGCUCUCGACGAGUCGAGUUGUUUGGGAAUGCAGCUCCAAAUGGGUGGUGAACUCCAUCUAAAGCUAAAUAUUGGCGAGAGACCGAUAGCGAACAAGUACCGUGAGGGAAAGAUGAAAAGCACUUUGGAAAGAGAGUGAAACAGUACGUGAAAUUGUUGAAAGGGAAACGCUUGAAGUCAGUCGCGUCGACCGAGACUCAGCCUUGCCUCGGCUUGGUGUACUUCUCGGGCUGACGGGCCAGCGUCGAUUUCGUCCCUCGGAUAAUGGCAAGGGAAAGGUGGCACCUUUGCGGGUGUGUUAUAGUCUCCUGUCGCAUACGAGGAGUGGGAUCGAGGAACUCAGCACGCACCUUUGGUGUCGGGGCUUAGGCCCACGAAACGUGCUUAGGACGUUGGCGUAAUGGCUUUAAACGACCCGUCUUGAAACACGGACCAAGGAGUCCAACAUGCCCGCGAGUGUUCGGGUGGAAAACCCGUGCGCGCAAUGAAAGUGAAAGUUGGGACCUCUGUCGUGGAGGGCACCGACGCCCGGACCAGACCUUCUGUGACGGAUCUGCGGUAGAGCGUGCAUGUUGGGACCCGAAAGAUGGUGAACUAUGCCUGAAUAGGGUGAAGCCAGAGGAAACUCUGGUGGAGGCUCGUAGCGAUUCUGACGUGCAAAUCGAUCGUCAAAUUUGGGUAUAGGGGCGAAAGACUAAUCG
rnacentral:rRNA from 1 species